UUAACUCCCACAUAAAGCAGACCUCCAGGACUGCCUUCUUUCAUUUACGUAAUAUUACAAAAAUUAGACACAUACUAUCACAGACAGAUGCAGAAAAACUAAUCCAUGCAUUUGUUACUUCAAGGCUGGAUUACUGCAACUCUUUAUUAUCAGGUUGCCCCAAUAAGUCCAUUAAAACGCUUCAAUUAAUUCAGAACGCUGCAGCACGAGUACUGACAGGAACUAGAAAAAGAGAUCACAUCUCUCCUGUACUAGCUUCUCGGCACUGGCUCCCUGUAAAAUGUAGAAUAGAAUUUAAAAUCCUCCUCCUCACCUAUAAAGCUCUUCAUGGUCAGGCCCCUUCAUAUCCUAAAGAGCUCAUAGUACCCUAUUACCCCUCUAGAACACUACGUUCUCUGAAUGCUGGGCUACUUGUGGUUCCUAUAGUCUCUAAAAGUAGAACAGGAGCCAGAACCUUCAGUUACCAAGCUCCUCUCCUGUGGAACCAGCUUCCAGUUGUGGUUCAGGAGGCAGACACCCUCACCACAUUCAAGAGUAGGCUUAAGACAUUCCUCUUUGAUAAAGCUUAUAGUUAGGGCAGACACCCUCUCCACAUUCAAGAGUAGGCUUAAGACAUUCCUCUUUGAUAAAGCU